rnacentral:lncRNA from 1 species
UCCCAAAACAAAUAUCAAUAUCAAUCAGGCCGAAAAAUUGCUUUUCGGUUGGGCCACACGAGAGCAUCCAGGUCCAUGAUUUCAUUGGAGCUUCUUCGACCGUGGAUAAUCGUACAAAUCACAAUAUAGCUAUUGCUCGGGCCGAUCGGACGCCAUUAACGAUGGUCCAUUACCUUGCAUCUUCUUCACUACGGUAUGUUUACUACAGUUCUAAUUUUCAUUGCUCACUACUUUUACUUUCUCAUCCGAGCUAGCAAAUCAGGUGAAUAUGAACUUUUCGUUUACAAGCCAGGAGGUACCGUAAUCCCGAUCUAUCUCCAUCUGCAAUGGCGAACAAACACAAUGUUGACUCAAGACCGUGGAUUCUCGAUGUCGUCCCUUUUAUCGUUGUUAUUCUAAUUACGGCGCAUGUUCUCGCUUUGGUACUUAAAUCUCAAUUUCAACCUCCAUUUUUUCAUUCUAUUACACAGCCGUUUCAUGUGCGAAAUUCAUCAUUUGAUCUCGGAGUGUUUGUGUUAGGUCUACUGGAUUUACAGAUUAGUGACGGAUAACAGGCCUCAAAGGAGGAAAGCACAUUGAAGAACAGUUUGAUUUACUUGACGGAAGAUAAGAAGGUUAGUGGAACCCUAAUUCGUUGAAUGUUUUUGAAGUUCAUAGCUGCAAUGCUAACAGAAAAACGUGUUUGGUACCAUUUUUAUUACUGGCUACUGUACCUAACAGUCGUGAAUGAUAUAUAACAGAUCCUUUCUUUAAUGUCGAUUGAAUUAGGUUGCCUCCUCUGUUCAAGUGUUCAUCAUUUGAUCUGAUUGAUCUGUUUAUUUGUAGCCGAUUCUCUAGUUUUCCGCUACGUUUUGUAGAGAUAUCAAACCGUUUCUUCAAUUUUUAGUUGUCAAGGCCUACAGUAAAGUAAAAGUGAACAUAGUGUACAUCUGUAGGAGCAAUGUUAGAAACUUAUAAUGGUCAAUAAAGGUUGCGAUAUUCAAUGAAUGGUUAAACUUAACCAUUCAAUUUCGAGGGAAUUAUGAAAAUGAAGAUGGAUUGUAACUAAUAGAUCCCAUCGAUGCACAUUUUUCUUUCUCACCUGCACAUGUAGCAUUGUCAGGUUCCUUCUAGUUGUUGAAGUACUGAUAUAAUGAACUUUACAGUAACCCAUUAACUUAAGCUUUUGGAUUGAGGGAUGAUUUAGCAUAGUAUUAAAGUAGUAGGUUUUCUGUUUCCCUCUAGCAUCAUCUCCUUUCCAAUUAGUAUCGGUUUCCACUUGUUAGAACAUUCUACAAAUUUCCAUGUCUAGAGAAUGUUGAAGUAUUGACAUAGUUAAAUUUACCGUAAUCAAUCAACUUAAGCUUCUGACUCGGGUGGUGCUUUAAUUCUUACAAAAUAAUGCUAAUUCAUCUGAAUAGUUGCUUAUGUUUGCCCAAGAAGUACAAGGUUGCCUCAAAGCUUUUAGAUCUCAUCUUUGAGAAGUUAUAUGAUAUACCCUCUGCUAUUGGCACUUUUGUUAUAGGCUCAUAGUUCUAACUGAAUAUCUGUUCCUAUUCCUCUAAAG